rnacentral:lncRNA from 1 species
CUGACAGUUUGGCUUCCCUGUUCCAGGUGGCAAAGCCUGUGGGGUAUUCACCUACCUGCUGCAUGAAGGCAGCAUGGAGGGACUGUGGUGGAUUAUCUGCAAAGAUGGCCCAAAUUCUCUCAUCCCUGCAGGUACAUACAAGUUUUGAGAAGAAUGCAAAGAAGAAGGGAAGAGUGAGCCUCUCUUUUCCCAUCGUUACCCUCCAUUGUCCUCUUGACACCCUGCUUUUGCAGACAGAGAGUUUGAGACCCUCUCCCAGGAGCCAAGGAGAGGGGAACAGCUGGCUUCACAUCAUCUUUCUAUUCAACAAGACACAAAAAGCUGAAGCCAGGAUGAUAGAAAAGCAACAAAGAAGACACGGUCCUUACUCAUUUCCCUUCCCGCUUCAGAGCAAAUAUGGUGCCUGGUGUUCGAAGGGAGAACUUGUGGGCAGAGCAGGAAGCGUGAGUAUGGUUGAAGGAUCAAAUAUUUGGUUCAGGCGUCAGGGAGCCAGCAAGACUAUGAUGCUGGGAAACACAAGUGAUGUACUGUUGGAUUUAAUCUACUUGGAAAAAACCUAGGAAAACCAAAGUGUCAUCAACUAACACCUGAAAUGCCUCAGCACCAUCUGUCUACAACAUUAAACAAAACCCAGGAGAUUCUGGGAGAAAGAAAAUAGGAAAUUUAAUGAUGAACUUAACCUGAGUAACUUGAUAAAUGUUACCUUUGUGGCUAGCCGUUCACCAGCAAGUCCCUAAAAUGACCUGAAACCUGAAGAGUGUUUCACCCAUGAAAGGGUUUGCUCUCUCUGGCAUGGCUACCCAGCACAUGUUAGUCAACUUUCUUUCCCUUG